rnacentral:rRNA from 1 species
UACGGGGGGCGAGCAAGCGUUGUUCGGAUUUACUGGGCGUAAAGGGCGCGUAGGCGGCCACCGCAAGUCACUUGUGAAAUCUCCGGGCUUAACCCGGAAAGGUCAACUGAUACUGCGGGGCUAGAGUGCAGAAGGGGCAACUGGAAUUCUCGGUGUAGCGGUGAAAUGCGUAGAUAUCGAGAGGAACACCUGCGGCGAAGGCGGGUUGCUGGGCUGACACUGACGCUGAUGUGCGAAAGCUAGGGGAGCGAACGGG